rnacentral:rRNA from 1 species
UACGGAGGGUGCAAGCGUUGUCCGGAAUCACUGGGCGUAAAGGGCGCGUAGGCGGCUCAUGAAGGCUGUGGUGAAAGUCCGGGGCUCAACCUCGGAUCGGCCGUGGCGACUCGUGGGCUGGAGCACUGUAGAGGCGGGUGGAAUUCCGGGUGUAGCGGUGGAAUGCGUAGAGAUCCGGAAGAACACCAGUGGCGAAGGCGGUCUGCUGGGCAGUUGCUGACGCUGAUGCGCGACAGCGUGGGGAGCAAACAGG